AACGCUAGCUACAGGCUUAACACAUGCAAGUCGCGGGGCAGCAUGAAUUUAGCUUGCUAAGGAAGAUGGCGACCGGCGCACGGGUGAGUAACGCGUAUCCAACCUUCCCAUGUCCACGGGAUAGCCCGUCGAAAGGCGGAUUAAUACCGUAUGAGGUCACAUGCGGGCAUCUAAGUGUGACGAAAGGUUUUGCGGACAUGGAUGGGGAUGCGUCCGAUUAGCUUGUUGGCGGGGUAACGGCCCACCAAGGCGACGAUCGGUAGGGGUUCUGAGAGGAAAGUCCCCCACAUUGGAACUGAGACACGGUCCAAACUCCUACGGGAGGCAGCAGUGAGGAAUAUUGGUCAAUGGACGCAAGUCUGAACCAGCCAAGUAGCGUGCAGGAUGACGGCCCUAUGGGUUGUAAACUGCUUUUAUGCGGGGAUAAAGUGUGGGACGUGUCCCAUAUUGCAGGUACCGCAUGAAUAAGGACCGGCUAAUUCCGUGCCAGCAGCCGCGGUAAUACGGAAGGUCCGGGCGUUAUCCGGAUUUAUUGGGUUUAAAGGGAGCGUAGGCCGGCUUUUAAGCGUGUUGUGAAAUGCCGCGGCUCAACCGUGGCACUGCAGCGCGAACUGGAGGUCUUGAGUGCGCGGGAGGUAGGCGGAAUUCGUGGUGUAGCGGUGAAAUGCUUAGAUAUCACGAAGAACUCCGAUUG
rnacentral:rRNA from 1 species